AGACCCGAAACCCGGUGAUCUAGCCAUGGGCAGGUUGAAGGUUGGGUAACACUAACUGGAGGACCGAACCGACUAAUGUUGAAAAAUUAGCGGAUGACUUGUGGCUGGGGGUGAAAGGCCAAUCAAACCGGGAGAUAGCUGGUUCUCCCCGAAAGCUAUUUAGGUAGCGCCUCGUGAAUUCAUCUCCGGGGGUAGAGCACUGUUUCGGCAAGGGGGUCAUCCCGACUUACCAACCCGAUGCAAACUGCGAAUACCGGAGAAUGUUAUCACGGGAGACACACGGCGGGUGCUAACGUCCGUCGUGAAGAGGGAAACAACCCAGACCGCCAGCUAAGGUCCCAAAGUCAUGGUUAAGUGGGAAACGAUGUGGGAAGGCCCAGACAGCCAGGAUGUUGGCUUAGAAGCAGCCAUCAUUUAAAGAAAGCGUAAUAGCUCACUGGUCGAGUCGGCCUGCGCGGAAGAUGUAACGGGGCUAAACCAUGCACCGAAGCUGCGGCAGCGACACUGUGUGUUGUUGGGUAGGGGAGCGUUCUGUAAGCCUGUGAAGGUGUGCUGUGAGGCAUGCUGGAGGUAUCAGAAGUGCGAAUGCUGACAUAAGUAACGAUAAAGCGGGUGAAAAGCCCGCUCGCCGGAAGACCAAGGGUUCCUGUCCAACGUUAAUCGGGGCAGGGUGAGUCGACCCCUAAGGCGAGGCCGAAAGGCGUAGUCGAUGGGAAACAGGUUAAUAUUCCUGUACUUGGUGUUACUGCGAAGGGGGGACGGAGAAGGCUAUGUUGGCCGGGCGACGGUUGUCCCGGUUUAAGCGUGUAGGCUGGUUUUCCAGGCAAAUCCGGAAAAUCAAGGCUGAGGCGUGAUGACGAGGCACUACGGUGCUGAAGCAACAAAUGCCCUGCUUCCAGGAAAAGCCUCUAAGCAUCAGGUAACAUCAAAUCGUACCCCAAACCGACACAGGUGGUCAGGUAGAGAAUACCAAGGCGCUUGAGAGAACUCGGGUGAAGGAACUAGGCAAAAUGGUGCCGUAACUUCGGGAGAAGGCACGCUGAUAUGUAGGUGAAGUCCCUCGCGGAUGGAGCUGAAAUCAGUCGAAGAUACCAGCUGGCUGCAACUGUUUAUUAAAAACACAGCACUGUGCAAACACGAAAGUGGACGUAUACGGUGUGACGCCUGCCCGGUGCCGGAAGGUUAAUUGAUGGGGUCAGCGCAAGCGAAGCUCUUGAUCGAAGCCCCGGUAAACGGCGGCCGUAACUAUAACGGUCCUAAGGUAGCGAAAUUCCUUGUCGGGUAAGUUCCGACCUGCACGAAUGGCGUAAUGAUGGCCAGGCUGUCUCCACCCGAGACUCAGUGAAAUUGAACUCGCUGUGAAGAUGCAGUGUACCCGCGGCAAGACGGAAAGACCCCGUGAACCUUUACUAUAGCUUGACACUGAACAUUGAGCCUUGAUGUGUAGGAUAGGUGGGAGGCUUUGAAGUGUGGACGCCAGUCUGCAUGGAGCCGACCUUGAAAUACCACCCUUUAAUGUUUGAUGUUCUAACGUGGACCCGUGAUCCGGGUUGCGGACAGUGUCUGGUGGGUAGUUUGA
rnacentral:rRNA from 1 species